rnacentral:tRNA from 1 species
GGGCUGGUAGCUCAGUUGGUAGAGUAGCAGACUCUUAAUCUGUCGGUCCAGGGUUCGAUUCCCUGUCAACCCACCA